ensembl:lncRNA
GUAGCCAUUCCCUUCUUCAGAGGAUCUUCCCAAGCCAGUGAUCAAACCCUAAUCUCUUACAUUGCAGGCAGACUCUUUACCCUCUGAGACACCAGGGAAGCUGGCCAUAUUUGAGGGGAAAUCAAGUGUGGGAGUGUCAAAGAGAGUACGCUCGGGGUCACGAUGUGGCUUGUCAGUUGUGAUGGUCAGCAUCUGGAAAGCCAGCUCUACCUGGGUUUAUUGAAAAUAUGGUGCUGGGAAGAAUAAAAGGAAAUUUAAUACCAUGGAAUCUGGAAACAACCACUGAAAUCCAGUCUUUUGAACACAUAUGAUACACUAAUUCCCAGAGAUUUAAGACAGCUCCAUUUGCUUCCUGAGGCUGUCAGGCUCCUUAUGACCAAGACACGGAAAGGUUCUUCAGCACAAAUAUGCCAUGAUGAUAUUUUAUUUACUAUGAAUAUUGACCGUACAUGAAUAUGGGAUGUCCUGGGGUUCUGCCUUCCCUUAUUGAUAUCAAGUUGGUACUCUCCUUAGAUCUGGUUCCCCCAAUACAGAUCCUGUGACAAAGAUUUAAACACAAGUAAGCUAUGGAUGUGAGAGUUGGACUGUGAAGAAGGCUGAGCGCUGAAGAAUCGAUGCUUUUGAACUGUGGUGUUGGAGAAGAUUCUUAAGAGUCCCUUGGACUGCAAGGAGAUCCAACCAGUCCAUUCUGAAGGAGAUCAGCCCUGGGAUUUCUUUGGAAGGAAUGAUGCUGACUGAAGCUGAAACUGCAGUACUUUGGCCACCUCAUGCAAAGAGUUGACUCAUUGGAAAAGACUCUGAUGCUGGGAGGGAUUUGGGGCAGGAGGAGACGGGGACGACAGAGGAUGAGAUGGCUGGAUGGCAUCACUGACUCGAUGGAUGUGAGUCUGAGUGAACUCCGGGAGUUGGUGAUGGACAGGGAGGCCUGGAGUGCUGCGAUUUGUGGGGUCGCAAAGAGUCAGACACGACUGAGCGACUGAACUGAAGCUACCUGGGAGCUUAUCCUGAAAAGCAUUUUUAGGGGCCUAGGCACGUGAGGCAGGGAGAAGAAAGCCAAGAAAAGGGUGCUCUUGAGCAGGUUGCUCAAUCCCUGGUGAAUUCUAAGAAACAGUCUUCAGAAACAUCCCAUCUGAGGGGCCGGAACACUUGCACACGUCUCCUCCAGCCCAUAUGUGUCCUUGCGAG